rnacentral:rRNA from 1 species
GACGAACGCUGGCGGCGUGCUUAACACAUGCAAGUCGAACGAUGAAGCCUAGCUUGCUAGGUGGAUUAGUGGCGAACGGGUGAGUAAUACGUGAGUAACCUACCUUUAACUCUGGGAUAAGCCUGGGAAACUGGGUCUAAUACCGGAUACGACCAAUCUCCGCAUGGGGUGUUGGUGGAAAGCGUUAUGUAGUGGUUAUAGAUGGGCUCACGGCCUAUCAGCUUGUUGGUGAGGUAACGGCUCACCAAGGCGACGACGGGUAGCCGGCCUGAGAGGGUGACCGGCCACACUGGGACUGAGACACGGCCCAGACUCCUACGGGAGGCAGCAGUGGGGAAUAUUGCACAAUGGGCGCAAGCCUGAUGCAGCGACGCCGCGUGAGGGAUGACGGCCUUCGGGUUGUAAACCUCUGUUAGCAGGGAAGAAGAGAAAUUGACGGUACCUGCAGAGAAAGCGCCGGCUAACUACGUGCCAGCAGCCGCGGUAAUACGUAGGGCGCGAGCGUUGUCCGGAAUUAUUGGGCGUAAAGAGCUUGUAGGCGGUUUGUCGCGUCUGCUGUGAAAGGCCGGGGCUUAAACCCGUGUAUUGCAGUGGGUACGGGCAGACUAGAGUGCAGUAGGGGAGACUGGAACUCCUGGUGUAGCGGUGGAAUGCGCAGAUAUCAGGAAGAACACCGAUGGCGAAGGCGGGUCUCUGGGGUGUAACUGACGCUGAGAAGCGGAAGCAUGGGGACCGAACAGGAUUAUAUACCCUAGUAGUCCAAGGGGGAUUCCACAGGGGAGAUCAAGAUUAUUUAUACCGUCGAACCUCAGGGGGGGCGGCGGCCCACUUUUGUUCGCUUUGUGGGGGGGGUUGCGCGCCUAGAGUAUCAUGUGUACUGUUUCCACAGGG